GAACGCAUCUUGCGCUCCUUGGUAUUCCGAGGAGCAUGCCUGUUUGAGUGUCAUUCAAGUUCUCAACCGCGCAUCAUCUUAUUGCGGCUUGGAAAUGGAGGUUUAUGCAGGCUGGAUCAUCAUCAAGUCUGCUCCUCUGAAACGAAUUAGUGGUGUCUUUUUACCCACUAGGUGUGAUAAAACUAUCUAUGCCUAUGCUGAACAAAAAGAACAUUGCUGCAAACCCUGUUUUUGAUGAAUUUGACCUCAAAUCAGGUAGGACUACCCGCUGAACUUA
rnacentral:misc_RNA from 1 species